CGUUGCCGUCAGUUCAUAUUGUUUUUCAGAAGAUUGGUAGAAGAUUAUUUCUUUACCCUUUUAAAGUAUAUGUGCUUUUGAGACAUUUUCUGACUCCUGUCCUGUUCAAAAGUUUGAACGAUAAGCUGCAGAUUCUUUUUGUUAUCAGGGGGUCUCAUUGGGGUGUGCCGAUCCCGGAUCCCGCUUACUGUUUUGUCACAUUCCCGUUUCCCGCUUACACUAUGUACGUAAGCAAUUCUCAUUUUUUUUGUCAUUUCCUGGAUCCCGCUAGACCUCAUUUCCCGUUUUCACGACACAAUAAUUUGACUUUCACGUUUCACGCUUACAAAAUAAUCGGCAAUCCCGCGUCACGCUUAGACCCCAAUGAGACCCAUUUAUCAUAAAAC
rnacentral:lncRNA from 1 species